UACGAAGGGUGCAAGCGUUACUCGGAAUUACUGGGCGUAAAGCGUGCGUAGGUGGUUUGUUAAGUCUGUUGUGAAAGCCCCGGGCUCAACCUGGGAAUGGCAAUGGAUACUGGCAAGCUAGAGUGCGGUAGAGGGUAGUGGAAUUCCCGGUGUAGCGGUGAAAUGCGCAGAUAUCGGGAGGAACACCGGUGGCGAAGGCGGUUCUCUGGGCCUGUGCUGACGCUGAGGAGCGAAAGCGUGGGGAGCAAACAGG
rnacentral:rRNA from 1 species